CCCGCUGAACUUAAGCAUAUUAAUAAGCGGAGGAAAAGAAACUAACAAGGAUUCCCCUAGUAACGGCGAGUGAAGCGGGAAGAGCUCAAGCUUAAAAUCUCUGCGCAAGUUUUGCGUGGCGAAUUGUAGUCUAUAGAAGCGUGGUCAGCGCGAGCGCUUGGGGUAAGUUCCUUGGAAGAGGACAGCAUGGAGGGUGAUACUCCCGUUCAUACCUGAGUGGCUUGUGCGUACGACCCGUUUUCUUUGAGUCGCGUUGUUUGGGAAUGCAGCGCAAAGUAGGUGGUAAAUUCCAUCUAAAGCUAAAUAUUGGUGCGAGACCGAUAGCGAACAAGUACCGUGAGGGAAAGAUGAAAAGAACUUUGAAAAGAGAGUUAAAGAGUACCUGAAACUGCUGAAAGGGAACCGAAUCGUUUCCAGUGUCUAUAAUCUGCGGCAUAUUUCAUUGGCGAGUGUGUGCGUGCGUGUGCUUUUGCAGUGGCUUUUUUGGCUGCGCUGGGUGCGUGCUGUGCGUGUGUUUGCUGGUGCCCUGUGCUGCGGUGGGACGUCAAGGUCAGUUCGUAUGCUGCGGGAAAUGGCUGCCGGGGAGGUAGGGCUUACGCUUGCGUUUGUCUGUUAUAUCUUGGUGGACGAGUCGUCGCGGUUGGGACUGAGGUGCCUACAACGUGCUUUUGAGUGUGUGGAACUCUCUGUGUGCGCGCUGUGCGGAUAGCUUGCUAUGUGUGCGGUGCUGUGCGUGGAUUGAGGUCUGCUGUAACUUGUUGCCGUUCGGGACGUUGACGAAAUGGAGCGAUCCGACCCGUCUUGAAACACGGACCAAGGAGUCUAACAUGUGUGCAAGUGUUAGGGUGUGGAAACCCAAGCGCGAAAUGAAAGUGAAGGGCAGCGCAAGUUGUCUGAGGUAGGAAACGUGUGGCCUUUCGGGGCUGUGCGUGGCACUAUCGACCGAUCAUGAACCUUCGUGGUGAAAGAUUUGAGUUUGAGCACAUAUGUUGGUACCCGAAAGAUGGUGAACUAUGCCUGAGUAGGGUGAAGCCAGGGGAAACUCUGGUGGAAGCUCGUAGCGAUUCUGACGUGCAAAUCGAUCGUCAAACUUGGGUAUAGGGGCGAAAGACUAAUCGAACCAUCUAGUAGCUGGUUCCCUCCGAAAUUUCCCUCAGGAUAGCAGCAACUUAUUUACGAUAGUUUUAUGAGGUAAAGCGAAUGAUUAGAGGAUUCGGGGAAGAAACUUCCUCGACCUAUUCUCAAACUUUAAAUCUGUAAGACCUGCCGGUUUCUUAAUUGAACUGGCGGAUGUGAAUAUCAAGUUGCUAGUGGGCCAUACGGGGUAAGCUCGUCUGGCG
rnacentral:rRNA from 1 species